rnacentral:rRNA from 1 species
GUGCUGGCUCCGGCAAGUGCACGUUGGUGACUUUCAUCCAACACUCUUGUGAACCUUUGGCCUCUUGCUGGCCUCGGCUGGCAGAGGAUUUUUACACCCACUCGCAUGUAAUGAAAUUAUUGUCGUGCGCAAGCACUAAUGUACAACUUUCAACAACGGAUCUCUUGGCUCUCGCAUCGAUGAAGAACGCAGCGAAAUGCGAUAAGUAAUGUGAAUUGCAGAAUUCAGUGAAUCAUCGAAUCUUUGAACGCACCUUGCACCCUUUGGCAUUCCGAAGGGUAUGCUCGUUUGAGUGUCAUUGUACUCUCACACUUCUCAUCCUUUGGAUUUGGAGCGGUGGACUUGGGUGUUGCCGCUUUACGGUGGCUCACCUCUAAUGCAUUAGUGCAACUCUUGGUUGGACAUAGUACGGCGUGAUAAGCUGACCGAGAGCUCUGUGCUUUCAAACCGUCCUUGGACAAUGACUGACAACUUGUCUUCGCCGGCACCUCGCAAGAGGGUGG